CCUACGGGAGGCAGCAGUGAGGAAUAUUGGUCAAUGGGCUUACGCCUGAACCAGCCAAGUCGCGUGAGGGAAGACUGCCCUAUGGGUUGUAAACCUCUUUUGUCAGGGAGCAAUUGGCGCUACGUGUAGCGUUAUCGAGAGUACCUGAAGAAAAAGCAUCGGCUAACUCCGUGCCAGCAGCCGCGGUAAUACGUAGGGGGCAAGCGUUAUCCGGAUUUACUGGGUGUAAAGGGAGCGUAGGUGGCAUGGCAAGCCAGAAGUGAAAACCCGGGGCUUAACCCCGCGGAUUGCUUUUGGAACUGUCAGGCUGGAGUGCAGGAGGGGCAGGCGGAAUUCCUGGUGUAGCGGUGAAAUGCGUAGAUAUCAGGAGGAACACCGGUGGCGAAGGCGGCCUGCUGGACUGUAACUGACACUGAGGCUCGAAAGCGUGGGGAGCAAACAGGAUUAGAUACCCCGGUAGUC
rnacentral:rRNA from 1 species